UAACGGUUUGCACAGAUCCUUUACCAAAGGAUUGCGUUCCCAAAAUAAUAGCGCGCCUAUGGUCUUGCAAAGCGCCUGCAACAAUUUCAGAGGCUGAGGCAGAACCACCAUUAAUAAGCACAACAAUUGGCUUGCCAUUUGUCAUGUCACCUGCUGUGGCAUUGUCGCGUUUUGCAUCUUCAUCACUGCGUCCGCGUGUUGACACAAUUUCACCUUUAUCAAGGAAUAUAUCGGAAAGCUCGAUGGCCUGUUCUAAAAGUCCACCUGGGUUAUUACGCA
rnacentral:ncRNA from 1 species